rnacentral:rRNA from 1 species
UACGUAGGGAGCAAGCGUUGUCCGGAAUCAUUGGGCGUAAAGCGCGCGUAGGCGGCUCGAUCAGUCUGUUGUGGAAAGUCAAAGGCUCAACCUUUGAAUGCCGAUGGAUACUGUCGAGCUAGAGUCCGGAAGAGGCGGGUGGAAUUCCUGGUGUAGCGGUGGAAUGCGCAGAUAUCAGGAGGAACACCAACGGCGAAGGCAGCCCGCUGGGACGGUACUGACGCUAAGGCGCGAAAGCGUGGGGAGCGAACAGGA